GCACGGGUGAGUAACACGUAUCCAACCUGCCGUCUACUCUUGGACAGCCUUCUGAAAGGAAGAUUAAUACAAGAUGGCAUCAUGAGUCCACAUGUUCACAUGAUUAAAGGUAUUCCGGUAGACGAUGGGGAUGCGUUCCAUUAGAUAGUAAGCGGGGUAACGGCCCACCUAGUCUUCGAUGGAUAGGGGUUCUGAGAGGAAGGUCCCCCACAUUGGAACUGAGACACGGUCCAAACUCCUACGGGAGGCAGCAGUGAGGAAUAUUGGUCAAUGGGCGAGAGCCUGAACCAGCCAAGUAGCGUGAAGGAUGACUGCCCUAUGGGUUGUAAACUUCUUUUAUAAAGGAAUAAAGUCGGGUAUGCAUACCCGUUUGCAUGUACUUUAUGAAUAAGGAUCGGCUAACUCCGUGCCAGCAGCCGCGGUAAUACGGAGGAUCCGAGCGUUAUCCGGAUUUAUUGGGUUUAAAGGGAGCGUAGAUGGAUGUUUAAGUCAGUUGUGAAAGUUUGCGGCUCAACCGUAAUUGCAGUUGAUACUGGAUAUCUGAGUGCAGUUGAGCAGCGGAUUCGUGGUGUAGCGGUGAAUGCUUAGAUAUCACG
rnacentral:rRNA from 1 species